UGGAAGGGCAUUUAGUGGAUGCCUUGGCGAUAAGAGGCGAUGAAGGACGUGGUACGCUGCGUUAAGCCAUGGGGAGCUGCGAACAAGCUUUGAUCCAUGGAUAUCCGAAUGGGGAAACCCGGCCCGCAAGGGUCAUCAUUAUCUGAAUACAUAGGGUAAUGAGGCGAACCUGGGGAACUGAAACAUCUAAGUACCCAGAGGAAAGGACAUCAAUUGAGACUUCCUUAGUAGUGGCGAGCGAACGGGAACCAGGCCAGUGGCUUUAGUGAGACAACCGGAACCGUUUGGAAAGACGGGCCAUAGUGGGUGACAGCCCCGUACGGGUAAUUCGAACUUUAGUCCUCGAGUAGGGCGGGACACGUGAAAUCCUGCCUGAACGUGGGGGGACCACCCUCCAAGCCUAAGUACUCCUGUGCGACCGAUAGUGAACCAGUACCGUGAGGGAAAGGUGAAAAGCACCCCGAUGAGGGGAGUGAAAUAGAGCCUGAAACCGAAUGCCUACAAUCUGUGGGAGCCUCCUUGAGGGGUGACCGCGUACCUUUUGUAUAAUGGGUCAGCGAGUUAAUUUUGCGAGCAAGCUUAAGCCGUUAGGUGUAGGCGUAGCGAAAGCGAGUCUUAAUAGGGCGACUAAGUUUGUUGGAUUAGACCCGAAACCGAGUGAUCUAGGUAUGAGCAGGUUGAAGGUGCAGUAACAUGCACUGGAGGACCGAACCCACGCCUGUUGAAAAAGGCGGGGAUGACUUGUGCCUAGGGGUGAAAGGCCAAUCAAACUCGGAAAUAGCUGGUUCUCCGCGAAAUCUAUUUAGGUAGAGCG
rnacentral:rRNA from 1 species